rnacentral:lncRNA from 1 species
GGUCAUAAUUAUGUAUUUUCAAGUGAAGAAAAAAACAAGAGAAUAUAGUCAUGAGAGGAAGAAAUCAUAUCAUAGAUAAAGUUGUUGGAUUACAAUAGUGGAUAUUGAAGGAGGAACAUCAUCCAAAUGUGAUGCAUGAUCUAACUAUUUUCUUGACAACGAAGCUUAAACUGAAAGCAUCCAUCAACAUCCCUACAACUUAACUAAAACAUAAACGAGGAACAACAUCCAACAGGAAUGUCAUCCCGACAACUUAACUAAAACUGAAAGCAUCCAUCAUCAUCACCAUGAAUUGGAACAUCGAAGUAUACUCGCCACGCACCCAUAUACUAAUCCAUUUAUCUUCUGAAUCUGCAAACAAGAAAACAAAAUGAACUGUUAAAACACAAUGCAUUGACAUUAUGCAAGUAGUAAUUGAGGCAAGAUAUUAGUCAUGUACAAAGGUUGAAGGCCACACACUCUUUGUUUUUUAUGUAUUACCGUGAGUAUUGCAGUUUUGCAACUCCGUACCAUAUUUUCAGUUUUCACAAGCACCAUAUCGAAAUGCCCUAUCCAGAACUCAUUUCUAUUUUCUGCACCAUCAAGUUUAACUUUAGGAUCACACCAUACACUUGGAGCAAGAGCUACGUCCUUGUUACGGUUUUUCAGUCUCUUCAAGAAUAAUAUAGUUCCUGCCUGAUAGAGAAGAUCAAAGUUACCAUUGUCAGAAUCAUCCUCAUCACCCAUGAAAAACAGAGUGAAAACAGGGGAACAUAUUAAAUGAAUUUCAGCACUUACAUGUAGUUCACUCGCACCCAACGAACUCAGCAAACCACUACCACUUUGAGCACUUACUUGCUACAGUAGUACCUUUUGUUGUUCUUUUGGUCUGGAUAGCAGUCUUAUAGCAAAGAAGUAAUAAACAAAUGAAAAAUCCAG